rnacentral:rRNA from 1 species
UACGGGGGGGCAAGCGUUGUUCGGAAUUACUGGGCGUAAGGGGCUCGAGUAGGCGGCCAACUAAGUCAGACGGUGAAAUCCCUCGGACUUAACCCGGGGGAACUGCCAUCUGAUACUGGAUGGCUUGAGUUUGGGAGAGGAUGCGGAAUUCCAGGUGUAGCGGUGAAAUGCGUAGAUAUCUGGAGGAACACCGGUGGCGAAGGCGGCACUCCUGGAGCCCAAUACUGACGCUGAGGAGCGAAAGCCAGGGGGAGCAAACGGG